rnacentral:rRNA from 1 species
GCAAGUCGAGCGGACAGAUGGGAGCUUGCUCCCUGAUGUUAGCGGCGGACGGGUGAGUAACACGUGGGUAACCUGCCUGUAAGACUGGGAUAACUCCGGGAAACCGGGGCUAAUACCGGAUGCUUGUUUGAACCGCAUGGUUCAAACAUAAAAGGUGGCUUCGGCUACCACUUACAGAUGGACCCGCGGCGCAUUAGCUAGUUGGUGAGGUAACGGCUCACCAAGGCAACGAUGCGUAGCCGACCUGAGAGGGUGAUCGGCCACACUGGGACUGAGACACGGCCCAGACUCCUACGGGAGGCAGCAGUAGGGAAUCUUCCGCAAUGGACGAAAGUCUGACGGAGCAACGCCGCGUGAGUGAUGAAGGUUUUCGGAUCGUAAAGCUCUGUUGUUAGGGAAGAACAAGUACCGUUCAAAUAGGGCGGUACCUUGACGGUACCUAACCAGAAAGCCACGGCUAACUACGUGCCAGCAGCCGCGGUAAUACGUAGGUGGCAAGCGUUGUCCGGAAUUAUUGGGCGUAAAGGGCUCGCAGGCGGUUCCUUAAGUCUGAUGUGAAAGCCCCCGGCUCAACCGGGGAGGGUCAUUGGAAACUGGGGAACUUGAGUGCAGAAGAGGAGAGUGGAAUUCCACGUGUAGCGGUGAAAUGCGUAGAGAUGUGGAGGAACACCAGUGGCGAAGGCGACUCUCUGGUCUGUAACUGACGCUGAGGAGCGAAAGCGUGGGGAGCGAACAGGAUUAGAUACCCUGGUAGUCCACGCCGUAAACGAUGAGUGCUAAGUGUU